rnacentral:rRNA from 1 species
AAUUAAACAAAUAAGGGUGUAUGGUGGAUGCCUUGACAGUUUGAGCCUAAGAAGGACGCAGCAACCUGCGAAAGCUUCGGUGAGGUGGUAAGCAACCUUUGAUCCGGAGGUGUCCGAAUGGGGAAACCUAUCUGUUUGAAGAACAGAUGAUCAGUAUCCGUGGUGGAUACGAGAUCGGGAACCAUGCGAAGUGAAACAUCUCAGUAGCAUGUGGAAAAGAAAAUAAGGGCAUUAUUUAAUUUGAACUUUUGAUAUUGAAGUUCAAAUCGAAUAUUGUCUCAUUCUCCUAGUAGUGGCGAGCGAACGGGGAGGAGUCUAAACUAACUUUGUGUCUUCGAGUCGAAGAGUAAUCGCAAGAUUAUUUCAAACUCGGAUUAAAGCUUACAGGCGUUGCAAGGAUUAGUGUUGUAACAAUCAUUCAUUAGAACUCUGUAAAGUUCUUGAAGAUUCAGUUGGAGCUGUUUAGCCGAAUGGUCUGGAAAGACCAGCCAAAGAACGUGAUAGCCGUGUAGCGCGAAAAACCUCUUAUAUCUUCCGAAUGGUUUGUUAAGUACAACUAGACACGUGAAAUCUAGUUGGAAUCUGUGUCGACUACGACAUAAGACUAAAUACUCAAAUUGAUCGAUAGUGAACAAGUACCGCGAGGGAAAGGUGAAAAGCAGCCCGGUGAGGGCGAUGAAAUAGUACCUGAAACCAUACACUUACAAUCGAGUGGGAGCUCCAACGCCGCAGGGUGUUGUGAGUGACCGCGUGCCUAUUGAAGAAUGAUCCAACGAGUUAGCCGUACGUUGCUUACUUAAGCAUUAUCAAAUGCGAAGGUAUAGUGAAAGCGAGCCUUAAUAGGGCGUAAAAAUCAGAUAUCAGAUAAUCGGAGAUUUUCCGACCUCUGAUUUCCGAUUUUAGGUAGCGUGCGCUAAACCCGAAACCCGGUGAUCUACUCAUGGUCAGGAUGAACGUUAUGUAAAAGUAACGGGAGGUCCGAACGCUAGAAUGUUGCAAAAUUCCGCGAUGAACUGUGAGUAGGGGAGAAAUUCCAAUCGAACUGGGUAAUAGCUGGUUCUCCUCGAAAUAGCUUUAGGGCUAGCCUGUGCCGCACGUGUUUGAGGUAGAGCACUGAAUCGGCUCUGCGGGAGCAAUCUCGUAGACCGAACCAAACUCCGAAUUCAAACACUUAAGGGCAUGGAGUCAGACAAUGAGGUCUAAGCUUCGUUUGUCUAAUGGAGAAGAAUCCACACCGCCGUUUAAGGUCCCUAAAUCAAAACUAUAGUGUAAAGGAUGUGGGAACACUUAUACAACCAGGAGGUUGGCUUAGAAGCAGCCAUCCUUUAAAGAAAGCGUAACAGCUCACUGGUCAAGCGUUCUUGCGCCGACAAUGUAUAGGGGCUAAGUUUUGUACCGAAGACGCGGAUCCAAGUUCGGAGGUCAGAAAUCAGAUGUCAGAGGUCAGAGAAAUCCGACUUCUGAUUAUCCGACUUCCGAUCUCUGAACUUGGGUGGUAGAGGAGCGUUGUAUGUGGGCUGAAGCAGAGAGGGAACUCUCUGUGGACUGCAUACAAGUGAGAAUGUUGGAAUAAGUAAUAUGUAUGCAUGUGAGAAUCAUGCACACCGAAAAUCCAAGGUUUCCUGGGCAAUGAUAAUCAUCCCAGGGUUAGUCGAUCCUAAGUUCGUACCCGAACGGGUGCGGAUGAUGGCAAAUACGGUUGAUAUUCCGUAACCGCUUAUAAUACUGAUGCAAUUACACAUCAUGGUAAUCCGAGCAUAUUUUGACUAUAUGUGUUCUUGUGUUCUUAGCUGGGUGCUUGAGGUAAACCCCAAGCGUCUAUGUGUCCAGUUCGGAGGUCAGAGAUCAGAUGUCAGAGAUCGGAGAAAUUCGACUUCUGAUUAUCCGACUUCCGAUCUCCGAACUUGGAUUACUGUAACAGUGAAAACAUGAGAGAAGCUCGGUAACGGGCAAUUUGGACGAACCAAGGUGUCAAGAAACGUUGCUAGGGAUUAGCGAAGUUGUCUCGCAAGAGGUGACUUUGCUAAAUAGUUAUAAGUGAUCGUACCGCAAACCGACACAGGUGGAUGAGUGCUAGAAUACUAAGGUGACCGGGACAAUAAUCCUUAAGGAACUCGGCAAAAAAGCAGGCGUAAGUUAGCAAUAUGCCUUGCCCAGCCCCACUCUUCAGAUUCUAUGAUGAAUUUGAGAGUAAUGUUCCAGUUUAAGACAAUACACUCUAAGACAUAGUAGUUUUUGAUGAGUGGAGCUGGGUCGCAGCGACUGACCCCUCCCGACUGUUUAUCAAAAACUUAGGUCCGUGCAAACCCGCAAGGGGAAGUAUACGGGCUGAUGCCUGGCCAGUGUUAGAAGGUUAAACUCUUUUGCGCAAGCUCAAGAGCCAAGCCCUAAUGAACGCCGGCGAUAACUAUAAUCGUCCUAUGGUGAACUAAAAGCUGCCAUAGUAAAACUUGGCCAAAUGCUGGGAUAUCUGGUGUAUCGAGCGCUACUAGGUUAUAAUGACAAUGGAUAUUUAUUCCUUGUCUUAUGAAACAAAGUAAAAAUGCGUCUCGUGCAGACAAUCAGCAGGAAAGGCUAAUUGGUUGGAUUUUAGGGUUUGUUGAUGGAGAAGGUUGUUUCUCGAUUAAUUUCACGAAACAGCCAGAUCGUCAGGAAGCCACUAGAAUCCGGAGAGGUUACAAGACUGGUUAUCAAAUUUCGCAAAACUUUGCAGUAGUGCAAGGUCAGCGUAGUCUAAGGUCUUUAGAAGUGAUUAAGAUUUUCUUCGGAAUUGGUAAAAUUUACCGAAAUCGAAGACAUGAUAAUCAUAAAGAAGAUUUAUACAGCUAUAAAGUUACUAAUCGCGAAGAUUUGAAACGAGUAAUUAUUCCCUUUUUUAAACGGAAUAAACUGAUAACCUCGAAGCGAAAUGAUUUUUUGUUGUUCGCAAAGUGUGUUGAGUUAAUGCUACAGAAUAAGCACCUCGCAAUUGGCGGAAUGCUUAAAAUAGCCAGACUUACACAAAAGAUGAAUCACAAAAAAUCGCGAGAUAAACUAAUUAGAAUCCUCAGAGACUAUACGCCAAGGUCGUCCAAAAGACGACAAGAUAUAGUCCCAACUGCAUAGCGAUAUGCAGGCUUAACAGCACUUAAUCAUAAAAGAUUAAGAAAGACCCGAGCGAAAUUCCUUGUCGUGUAAGUUACGACCCGCACGAAUGGCAUAACGAGUAGGGGACUGUCUUAAGGAUUAACCCGAUGAAUUUACAUUGACGGUAAAGAUGCCGUCUACCCGCAACAAGACGGAAAGACCCUAUGAAGCUUUACUAUAGUGUGUCAUUGAUGCAAGAAUUUUUUUGUUUAGCAUAGGUGGGAGCCUUCGAAGUACUGGCGCUAGCUGGUAUGGAGGCGACAAGUGAAAUACCACCCUGAAAGAUUUUUGUUUCUAACCUUUAUUUAACCAACAAAGGGACAGUGGCUCAUGGGUAGUUUAACUGGGGCGGUUGCCUCCUAAAUGGUAACGGAGGCGUUUAUUAAGGUGAGCUUAGCUCCGAUGGAAACGGAGUGUGACGCGCAAACGCAAAAGCUCGCUUAACUGCAAGGCUGGCACGCCGCGCAGAUACGAAAGUAGAAGUUAGUGAUCCGACCAUCCUUCGUGGAAGGGUGGAAGCUCAACGGAUAAAAGUU